AAAUGCGAUAAGUAAUGUGAAUUGCAGAAUUCAGUGAAUCAUCGAAUCUUUGAACGCACAUUGCGCCCGCCAGUAUUCUGGCGGGCAUGCCUGUUCGAGCGUCAUUUCAACCAUCAAGCCCCCGGCUUGUGUUGGGGACCUGCGGCUGCCCGCAGGCCCUGAAAAACAGUGGCGGGCUCGCUGUCACACCGAGCGUGGUAGCAUACAUUCUCGCUCAGGGCGUGCUGCGGGUUCCGGCCGUUAAACGACCUUCAUAACCCAAGGUUGACCUCGGAUCAGGUAGGAAGACCCGCUGAACUUAAGC
rnacentral:misc_RNA from 1 species